rnacentral:RNase_P_RNA from 2 species
CUCCAGAGGCCCUAACCAGGCCCUCCCUGAGUGGGGAGGUGAGUUCCCAGAGAGCAGGACUCCCCACAUGGGCAAGCUGGGUAGGAGAGGAAUCAAAGAUAUUCCUG